rnacentral:rRNA from 1 species
UUCACGGAGAGUUUGAUCCUGGCUCAGGACGAACGCUGGCGGCGUGCUUAACACAUGCAAGUGGAGCGACGAACCGGGGCUUGCCCCGGGGCAGAGCCGCGAACGGGUGAGUAACACGUGGGU